rnacentral:rRNA from 1 species
AUUUAAAGUCUAACCUGCCCAAUGAGUAGUUUAAUGGCCGCAGUAUUUUGACUGUGCAAAGGUAGCAUAAUCAAUAGUUUCUUAAUUAGGAGCUGGAAUGAAAGGUUGGACGAGAAAAUAACUGUCUCUUUAUUAAUUUUUUAGAAUUUUAUUUUUAAGUUAAAAAGCUUAAAUUUAUUUAAAAGACGAGAAGACCCUAUAGAGUUUUAUAUAAUUUUUUUUUAAUAAUUAAAAUUGAAUCAUUAUAAAUUUAUUACUAAUUAUAUUUAAUUGGGGUGAUUAAAAAAUUUAAGUAACUUUUUUUUUAUGGAAACAUUAAUUUAUGAGCUAUUGAUCCAUUAAUUAUGAUUAUAAGAUUAAAUUACCUUAGGGAUAACAGCGUAAUUUCUUUGAAGAGUUCAAAUCGAUAAAGAAGUUUGCGACCUCGAUGUUGGAUUAAAAUUAAUUUUUGGUGUAGAAGCUAAAAUAUUAGGUCUGUUCGACCUUUAAAAUUUUACAUGAUCUGAGUUUAAACCGGUGUGAGCCAGGUUGGUUUCUAUCUUUAAAUAAUUUAUAUUUUUUAGUACGAAAGGACCAAAUAUUUGUAAAAUUUAU